rnacentral:ncRNA from 1 species
UACCUGGUUGAUCCUGCCAGUAGUCAUAUGCUUGUCUCAAAGAUUAAGCCAUGCAAGUCUAAGUACGAGCUCUCGUACAGUGAAACUGCGAAUGGCUCAUUAAAUCAGUUAUGGUUCAUUUGAUCGUACAGUUUACUUGGAUAACUGUGGUAAUUCUAGAGCUAAUACAUGCGAGAAGCGCCGACCUCGCGGGAGGCGUGCAUUUAUCAGACCAAAAACCGGCCGCGUCUUCGAGGCGCGUUCGCCUUGGUGACUCUGGAUGAA